rnacentral:rRNA from 1 species
CCUACGGGUGGCAGCAGUGGGGGAUAUUGGACAAUGGGGGGAACCCUGAUCCAGCGACGCCGCGUGAGUGAAGAAGUAUUUCGGUAUGUAAAGCUCUGUCAGCAGGGAAGAAAGAAAUGACGGUACCUGACCAAGAAGCCCCGGCUAACUACGUGCCAGCAGCCGCGGUAAUAAGUAGGGGGCAAGCGUUAUCCGGACUUACUGGGUGUAAAGGGAGCGUAGACGGUUAAGUAAGUCUGGAGUGAAAGGCCGGGGCACAACCCCAGGACUGCUCUGGAAACUAUUGAACUUGAGUGCAGGGGAGGGAAGCGGAAUUCGUGGUGUAGCGGUGAAAUGCGUAGAUAUUAGGAGGAACACCAGUGGCGAAGGCGGCUUACUGGACUGUAACUGACGUUGAGGCUCGAAAGCGUGGGGAGCAAACAGGAUUAGAUACCCGAGUAGUC